UACCCCUAUGCAAAUUGGGGAAGAACGAUGAGGUUCAUCAAGUCAUCCUCUUGGGAAAUACUAACGACGACGACUUGACAAGGCAAAUGCAGAUACCAUGGUCGCCGGAAGCCGCUCCAUCACGACCAUGGCGAAGCUUUGCUUCACUCUCCCGCUCAAACCAUCUCUGCCAUUCUCCUCCCUCGUCCAAAUCCAAAACCCCGCCAACCCACGAGUUGGUUUGACCAAGCAAGCGUUGACCGCCCUCCUGCAAUCAUGCUCUGCGCACCCAAACCAACUCAAACAAAUCCACGCUGUCGUCCUUACGACCGGCCUCUCGAUCAAGAACAGCCUCAUCACCGAACUCCUCACCAAUUUCGCACUCUUAGGUGACAUGUCGUAUGCCCGCCAACUGUUCGACCAAAUGCACAAGCCACGGGUUUUUCUCUGGAACACCCUUAUCAGAGCGUAUGUUAAAAACCGUAUCUUUAUGGAGGCUGCGUUAGUUUACAGGCAAAUGCACGUCCUGGGUAUUCGUCCUGACCAGUUUACUUACACAUUUGUGGUGAAGGCAUGCACCGAACAGCCCGAAUUGUGGGCUGGAUCGGCUGUUCUUGCCCAUGUGGUGAAAUAUGGGUUGGAGUUUGUUGCCAUGGUGAGGAUUGAGUUGGUUGCAAUGUAUAUGAAAUUUGGGGAAGUGGGUGUGGCGGAUUUUCUGUUUGAAACUAUGGUUGAGAGAGAUUUUAUUGCUUGGAAUGCUUUCAUUGCGACUUGUGUGCAGAAUGGACAUGCCGGUAAGGCUCUUGCAUUGUUCCGCCAGAUGGAAGCGGCUAGGAUUAAGCCUGAUGCUGUUAGUGUUGUGGGUGCCUAUUCGGCUUGCGGGCAAUUGGGGUGUUUGGAGACCGGGGAAGAAAUCUACGGGAUCAUGAAAAAAUAUGGGAUCGGAUGCAAUAUAAUUGUCGCCAAUGCGCGGCUUGAUAUGUAUGUGAAAUGUGGUAGCAUAGGAUUGGCUGAGACCUUGUUUAAGGAUAUGUCUCAGAGAAAUGUUAUAUCCUGGAGCACUAUGAUAGUUGGAUAUGCCAUAAAUGGGGAGAGUGAAAAGGCGUUGGAUAUGUUUUCGAGGAUGCGAAAUGCAGGUGUGCAACCAAACCAUGUCACCUAUCUGGGAGUUUUAUCUGCAUGUAGCCAUGCUGGGCUAGUGAAUGAAGGCAAGGCUUACUUCAGUAACAUGGUUCAAUCUGGUGACAAGAGCAUCCGACCAAAACUUGAGCACUAUGCUUGUAUGGUAGACCUUCUUGGACGGUCAGGACAUCUUGAAGAGGCCCAUAAUUUUAUAAGAACUAUGCCAAUUGAACCAGAUUCUGGAGUAUGGGGAGCUUUAUUGGGUGCCUGUACAAUCCACCAAAAUGUUGAACUGGGCCAGCGGGCGGCUGAUAUGCUUUUCAAAUUAGCUCCUGAUAUUGGUUCAUAUCAUGUCUUGAUGUCAAACAUGUAUGCGGCUGCUGGAAGGUGGGAUUUCGUCGACAAGUUGAGGCUCAGAAUGAGAAAACGAGGUGUCAAGAAAGUGGCUGCCUACAGCUCGGUUGAAUGUAAUGGAAACUUCCAUAUCUUCUAUGGUGGAGACAGGUUGCACCCAGAGUCAGCAGAAAUAUAUGAGAAGUUGAAGGACUUAUUGAAACAAGUGAAGAGUAUAGGUUACGUUCCAAAUACCAGUUAUGUGUUUCAUGAUGUGGACAUAGAGGAAAAGGAAGCCACGGUAAGCACCCACAGUGAAAAGCUUGCCGUUGCAUUUAGUCUCAUAAAUUUAAGGCCCGAAAGCCCCAUUAGGGUGGUGAAGAAUUUGAGAAUGUGUGACGACUGCCAUAGUUUUUGUAAGUUUGUCUCUAAAGCUACCAAAAGGGAGAUUGUCAUGAGAGAUAAAAUCCGUUUUCAUCAUUUUAGAAAUGGAGAUUGUUCGUGCAACAACUUUUGGUGAUCACAAGAAACAGUGAUGACUUAGAGGUGAUAAAGGUAUGGAGAUGUAUUUUGGUUGUUGGUUUCCUCUUAAUUUUCAGGUGUGUGAUUCGAGAAGAACAACUGAUGAGCUCACAACGGAUACUAACUAUUGGCUACGUAAAUAAUACUUGCACCAGCUUUUGCACUUUGUACCGACAUGUGAAAGGAAGGACAAAGUAUCAACGCCAGCAGAUAUCUCAUCUUUGGCAAAUGCCAAAAAGUUGGAUUUCCAGCAUGAGCAUCUGCACAGCACAUUGGUUUGUAACGUUUCAGUUAAACUCAUUUACAGCACCCAAGAAUUUUGGCUCAGAAUGUGAAACUUGUGUGCAAUGUUAUCCCCCAACAUUCAUAAGAAAACGUUACCAGCUGUUCUAGUUUUCUUCCUGAUUCCUUAGCAUGCCUAAGGGAAGCAUUGAGAAAUGGUUUCAGUCCCACAACUGAUAGAUUGCAGAAGCUAAACACGGUGGCGGGUGUUGCCUUGGCAUUUAACAUCUCUAUCAUGGUUAUUCAUCAUAUUCGGUUCACUGUGAUACAAUGCCAACUAUUGUCCUUCUUGAUCAAGUAUGGUUGCACAUUCAUCUGACUUUGGCUUUCCAAACUCUAGGGAAAGGGGGCAUCUACUAACUAAGAUCCUUGCUACGGUUGGACAUACGGCAUCAUGUAGUGAAGAGAAAUGUAACAUGCUGUGCAUCACAAAUUGCGGUAACAGAAGUCCAUAAAAUAAGAGAGAUUUCUAGCAAAUGUAGCAAGGCCAAAAAGUGUAGCUUGAGCACUUUAAAUGUACAAUAAAAGAUCAACAAAAAUGCAUAUCUGCCAACAUUAAAAGUUUUCAUCUGCCAGAGAGCCUCCCUUUUUGGGGAAUCUCUUACGAA